GCAACAGUAGUGUAACGGAUAGAGCACGCGCUCCCGGAAAGAGUGAGUCGCAGGUUCUAAUCCCGCCUGAUGCG